rnacentral:rRNA from 1 species
AUACGAAGGGGGCUAGCGUUGUUCGGAAUCACUGGGCGUAAAGCGCGCGUCGGUGGAUCAAUUAGUUGAGGGUGAAAUCCCGGGGCUCAACCUCGGAACUGCCUUCAAUACUGUUGAUCUUGAGACCGAGAGAGGUGAGUGGAAUUCCUAGUGUAGAGGUGAAAUUCGUAGAUAUUAGGAAGAACACCAGUGGCGAAGGCGGCUCACUGGCUCGGUACUGACGCUGAGGUGCGAAAGCGUGGGGAGCAAACAGGAUUAGAAACCCUAGUAGUCC